UGGCAUUCCCACGGGCUCACCUGGUUUGACUCGAGAAGACGCCACGUGGCCUCAUCUGUUUCCUUGUCUAUCUCCGCCAUCGGACUGGAAGCUACUGGAAGGCGUGACCCUGCCCUGUGGCCUGGGCCUCCCCAGGGCCCCUGCAGAAGCCUUGGGGAGUGAGUGCAUGACGCAGUGAAGCAGUGGUUGGCACACUGGCUCCUUCCGUGACACCUGGUGGCCUCCGCCCCGCAGGCUCCUUGCUCAGGACAGGCUCCCAGGAAGGGGCCCUGAGCAGAGCUUCUCGGGGGCAGAACCUCCUCUGGAGGAAAGAGAGAAACACAGUGGCUGCGUGCACAGCUGCCCCUUCGCUGCCAGGCCCCGUGGCCAUCAGCACCUCUGCGUAACCAACACCCCAGAGCACGGGGCUUAGAACAAUGGCCGAGUCUGCAGGGGCCGCGAGGCUGGGCUCAACCUGGUGGCCUCUGGGCUGGCCGGGCUCCUGCGUCCACCAUCAGCUGCGGGUCUGGGAGAGGGCUCUGCCGAUCGGGCCUCCGCUCUCCCGUCUCCGGCGCUCGCCGGGACGUCACAGCCCAUCGUGCCCCAGCAGGCCGCCAGGCCGUGCUGCGGGUGUGGGGGAGCCUGGGCAGCAGGCCUGGCUCAGAAUCGGCCCCGUGCCACUCCCACCACGUUCUGUUGGUCAGAGCAAGUCACAGGCUGGUCCAGAUGCCAGAGACAGACAGACUCACCCCUUCCUGACGGGAGGUGCUGCAGAGUCCCGGCACCAAAGGCGUGGGUGCACGGGUCUUUGUGCCCAGUACCCCCAGGAGCACAAAGAAUUGCCAGGCAAAGGUGCCAGUUGGGGGAGCUCGUCCCUGCCAUGUUGCCUCUGCUCUGUCAUCUCUGCGUCUCCCAGCCGGCACACGGCCUCAGUGACCCCGUCUUGCAGGCUCCUGUCUAUUCUCUGUCACGCACGGGCAAGGAUGAAGCCCUAAGAGAAUGCAGUGUCCUGGGCCAAGGCUCAGGCCCCAAAUGGCCCUGAUGUGGAGUCCCAGGUCCCCCGGGGGGAGGAUGCCCAGAAGGGUAGGGCCUCCAGGACUGGCCCCUCCUCUCGGGUCUUGCAGAGGCCUGGCCCCUGCAAACUGGCCUGUUCCUCACGGUGCAGUGGCUGCAGGGGUGACCAUGUGCAGCUCCGUGCCCAGGCUUGCUGCGGGGUCAGUUCAGCGCCCAGGAGGGUGGCCCAGGAGGGGAGAGGGGCACUGCCCCGGCACAGGCGGCUGCUCCGGGCCCUGAAGCUCCUGAGGGGGCAGCCGGCCUGACUAUGGGCCUCAGCCAGGCGGUAAAUGACAAAGCAGCCAGAUGAGGGCAUCUCGGAUGUCCUCGAACUGGGAGCCCACAAUGAGCCACUGGAGAGCGAGAGUUGGCAAUCGGGACAGCAGCCCAGAGCAGGCGGCAGCUCAGGCAGGGCCCGGCACUUUGAAGCUCUUUGUUGAGCCCCGAUUUCCCAGAGGGCUCACAUGUGAGUCUGUAAGUCCGGCCUCACCAGCCAGGGAGGACAGGCUAACAGCCGCUCUAGGGUCAGUGCAUUGCACAGAGGGUUCUGCCCCAGGACUCUGAGAGGACGGAGGGGUGCUGAGAGCAGGGCAGCUGCUCUGGUGGAUGAUCCUGCGGUCACACAGGGCCAGCCCUCAGAAGGGCUCUGCAUUGAGGUCAAUGCCGUGCUGUCCUGACUACACUUCCUCCUUUUUUUUUUUUUUUUUUGGUGAGGAAGAUUGGCCCUGAGCUAACAUCUGUUGCCAAUCUUCCUCUUUUUGCUCGAGGAAGAUUGUCACUGAGCUGACAUCUGUGCCAAUCCUCCUCUAUUUUGUAUGUGGGAUGCCGCCACAGCAUGGCUUGAUGAGCAGUGUGUAGGUCUGCACCCAGGGUCCCAACCCACGAACCCUGGGCCACCAAAGCAGAGCACGCAAACUUAACCACUACGCCACGGGGGCAGCCCCUCCCUCCUCAUUUUUGAACCAGGCUCUCAUUUUCAUUUUGCAAUGGGCCCCUCCGUUUACGCAGCCGGUCCUGCUUGUGAGCGCCACGUCGGGUUGGACCCGAGCUGCUGGCAGACGCCCGCUCCUCGAGGCCCCUGGAAGGCACGGGGAGCAGAACCCCCUCUCCACUCAUGAAGGACCGGGCAAGGCGGGAACACACGAAUGUGCGAGGACGUGAACGAAUGAACGAAUGAAGCAGCCUGGUUUGGUUUGCUAACUACACACUCGGAAGUGUGGACACAGCUCCUUCAAGGGCUGUGUGGUUCGGGCUGUGUGGUUCGGACUGUGGGAGCUGCUACUCCUCCGUCCUGGGCGGCCGGGGCAGCCCCCCAGGACCGCAGCUGGGACUCGCGUCCCCUCUGACGAUUGACAGUGCUGGAGGAGACCCCCGGACUCCUG
rnacentral:lncRNA from 1 species